UACGUAGGAGGCGAGCGUUGUCCGGAAUACUGGGCGUAAAGAGCGCGUAGGCGGCGCGGUACGACCGGCUGAUGAAAGCCCCCAGCUCAACUGGGGGAGGGUCAGCGGGUAACGGCCGUGCUUUUGAGUGCAGGAGAGGGGAAAGUGGGAAAACUCCGGGGAGUAGCGGUGAGUGCGUAGAGACCCGGAGGAAAGCACCAGGUGGGCGAAAGGGCGGGCUUUCCU
rnacentral:rRNA from 1 species